UCGGACGGGUGAGUAACGCGUGAGAAUCUACCUUCAGGUUUGGGACAACCACUGGAAACGGUGGCUAAUACCGAAUGUGCCGAGAGGUGAAAGGCUUGCUGCCUGAAGAAGAGCUUGCGUCUGAUUAGCUAGUUGGUGGGGUAAGAGCCUACCAAGGCGACGAUCAGUAGCUGGUCUGAGAGGAUGAUCAGCCACACUGGGACUGAGACACGGCCCAGACUCCUACGGGAGGCAGCAGUGGGGAAUUUUCCGCAAUGGGCGAAAGCCUGACGGAGCAAUACCGCGUGAGGGAGGAAGGCUCUUGGGUUGUAAACCUCUUUUCUCAGGGAAGAAGAAAAUGACGGUACCUGAGGAAUAAGCAUCGGCUAACUCCGUGCCAGCAGCCGCGGUAAUACGGAGGAUGCAAGCGUUAUCCGGAAUGAUUGGGCGUAAAGGGUCCGCAGGUGGUAGUGUAAGUCUGCUGUUAAAGAGUCACGCUCAACGUGAUCAAAGCAGUGGAAACUACACAACUAGAGUACGGUAGGGGCAGAAGGAAUUCCUGGUGUAGCGGUGAAAUGCGUAGAUAUCAGGAAGAACACCGGUGGCGAAAGCGUUCUGCUAGACCUGUACUGACACUGA
rnacentral:rRNA from 1 species